UACGUAGGGCGCAAGCGUUAUCCGGAAUUAUUGGGCGUAAAGAGCUCGUAGGCGGUUUGUCGCGUCUGCCGUGAAAGUCCGGGGCUCAACUCCGGAUCUGCGGUGGGUACGGGCAGACUAGAGUGAUGUAGGGGAGACUGGAAUUCCUGGUGUAGCGGUGAAAUGCGCAGAUAUCAGGAGGAACACCGAUGGCGAAGGCAGGUCUCUGGCAUAACUGACGCUGAGGCACGAAGGCCAGGGAGCAAACGGG
rnacentral:rRNA from 1 species